GACAGAGGGUGCAAACGUUGUUCGGAAUUACUGGGCGUAAAGCGCGUGUAGGCGGCUAAGUAAGUCGGGCGUGAAAUCCCACGGCUCAACCGUGGAAGUGCACUCGAAACUGCAUAGCUAGAGUCCUGGAGAGGAAGGUGGAAUGCUUGGUGUAGAGGUGAAAUUCGUAGAUAUCAAGCGGAACACCGGUGGCGAAGGCGGCCUCUGGACAGUGACUGACGCUGAGACGGCGAAAGCGUGGGGAGCAAACAGG
rnacentral:rRNA from 1 species